rnacentral:tRNA from 1 species
GUCAACGUGCCAGAGUGGUUAAUGGGCUGCCCUGCUAUGCUGUCUUGAGCGAUCAAGACCCCCAGCUGAGGCAGUGGCUUCGGUCGCGCAAGUUCGAAUCUUGUCGUUGACG